UGUUCUAUGUCUACCGAAGUCAAGCAGC
rnacentral:sRNA from 1 species